GAAACCAACUGGGAUUGCCUUAGUAACGGCGAGUGAAGCGGCAAAAGCUCAAAUUUGAAAUCUGGUACCUUUGGUGCCCGAGUUGUAAUUUGGAGAGUACCACUUUGGGACUGUACUUUGCCUAUGUUCCUUGGAACAGGACGUCAUGGAGGGUGAGAAUCCCGUGUGGCGAGGGUGUCAGUUCUUUGUAAAGGGUGCUCGAAGAGUCGAGUUGUUUGGGAAUGCAGCUCUAAGUGGGUGGUAAAUUCCAUCUAAAGCUAAAUACAGGCGAGAGACCGAUAGCGAACAAGUACAGUGAUGGAAAGAUGAAAAGAACUUUGAAAAGAGAGUGAAAAAGUACGUGAAAUUGUUGAAAGGGAAGGGCAUUUGAUCAGACAUGGUGUUUUGCGCCCCUUGCCUCUCGUGGGCUUGGGACUCUCGCAGCUCACUGGGCCAGCAUCGGUUUUGGCGGCCGGAAAAAACCUAGGGAAUGUGGCUCUGCGCCUCGGUGUAGAGUGUUAUAGCCCUGGGGAAUACGGCCAGCCGGGACCGAGGAC
rnacentral:rRNA from 1 species